UUUGGGAAAUGAUGCCAAGAUUCAAACACAUUAUCAGAGGCUGCCAGCUCUGCUGAUUAUUUUUUUGCACGUCAGUCUGAUCCCAAG